GAUGAACGCUAGCGGCAGGCUUAACACAUGCAAGUCGAGGGGUAACAGGGAUUGCUUGCAAUCCGCUGACGACCGGCGCACGGGUGCGUAACGCGUAUGCAACCUACCUUUUACAAGGGGAUAGCCCAGAGAAAUUUGGAAUAAUACCCUAUAUGAUCAUCAAUUGGCAUCAAUUAAUGAAGAAAACUCCGGUGGUAAAAGAUGGGCAUGCGUCCCAUUAGUUAGUUGGUAAGGUAACGGCUUACCAAGACUCCGAUAGGUAGGGGUCCUGAGAGGGAGAUCCCCCACACUGGUACUGAGACACGGACCAGACUCCUACGGGAGGCAGCAGUGAGGAAUAUUGGACAAUGGAGGCAACUCUGAUCCAGCCAUGCCGCGUGCAGG
rnacentral:rRNA from 1 species